rnacentral:lncRNA from 1 species
GAGCUCCUAUGUAUGAUUUAUCAGUGGUCGUACAGGCAGAAAUUCAACAGGUGUAUUUUUGGCAUAAUGAAGAUGCUGUGACGGGAAACACCUGGGGCAAUAAUGCAGUGAUUAAAAGUGCAGGAACUCUGCCUCCCCCUCUCCCACAACAUGGCAACCCUCCUAUGCUAUGGUGGAAUAUGAUUUUGGCUGGCUAAGAACAGGAUCAAGAGUGAGGUAAUAACAAUAACUACAUUCAACAUCAGAAAGAUUAUAUGCAUUGGGAAAUGAUAGGAAGCCUAUUUUAUGUUAGCAAAAAGAUAGGGAAAAGGAGAUUGUACAAAUUUAAUUUAGAUUUAAUUUCUGUAAACAUGCAUAAUACUAUUAGUAUAUGAUUGUUUUCAUUUUUGUUUAUUUAAGAGUGUGUAUGUUAUUCAUGAAUUUCAAUAAAAUAAAAUAAAAUACAGUGGUACCUUGGGUUAAGUACUUAAUUCGUUCCGGAGGUCUGUUCUUAACCUGAAAUUGUCCUUAACCUGAAGCACCACUUUAGCUAAUGGGGCCUCCUGCUGCCGUUGCGCCACAGGAGCAUGAUUUCUGUUCUCAUCUUGAAGCAAAGUUCUUAACCCGAGGUAAUAUUUCUGGAUUAGCGGAGUCUCUAACCUGAAGCGUAUGUAACCCAAGGUACCACUGUAAAGAGAACAGGAUCAAGAUCUCAUGACUUUUGAUCACUUAUUUGGAGUAAAUAACAAAGACAAUGACUAGACCAGUGAUCAGGGUUGAUGGGAGCUUUAGUCCAACAACAGCUGGGGCACAACCUCCAAGUGUCCCUAUUUUCCAGGGACAUCCCUGAUUUAGAGAAGCCGUCCCAGUUUCUGAUUUGAUCCCAGAAUGUCCCACUUUUCCUUAGGAUGUCCCUAUUUUCAUUGGAGAAAUGAUGGAGGGUAGUGAGUUUUCUGACCCCCCAAGCCGUCUGAAGGCAAUCCUGCAGAGGGAAGUUUUUAAAAAUGUUUAAUGUUUUAUUAUGUUUUUAUAUAUGUUGGAAGCUGCCCAGAGUGGUUGGGGCAACCCAGUAAGAUGGGGGGAGGGGCUAUAAAGAGUAAAAUUAUCAUUAUGGAAUGGGACAUCCCUAUUUUCAUCAGAGAAAUGUUGGAGGGUACGUUGGGGACCCAAGUUUGAGAAAGGGUGGUAGACUUUGCACUCGUGAAACAUUUGCUUGGAUGUGACACAGGAAACUUCAGAAGAUAGCAGCAAACAAGGACUGAUGUUCUAUAAGCAGGAGUUGUAAAUGAAGUCUCCUAUUGUGGCCGUGUAAGGUCUCAAUUAAGGGAAAGAGGGGAAAGUAGGAGAUAUGAUGGAAAACCUAAAAACAAAAGUGAAAUUAUAGCCCAAAGCAGGGUGUUAGUGGAGAAAAGUAUGCUUCUGGGAAGUGAAGAAUGAAAUCUUACAGAGCCUGCCAGUUCCCCUGGGCAUUCUGGUAAACACUUCCAGCUGAAGGAUUCACUGAUAAAACUGCCCUAAUGUAACUUUGAAUUUGCUGCUAGAUUCUGUGGGAAUCUUGAUGGACCAUAUGGUAACAAAGCCAUAUUCUGCAAUGUAAUAGUAAGCUUAAAACUAAUCAUCUGAAUUCUUUCACAGCGACCCUUUUGUUUAUCUUCUGCCACCUCUGCAGCUGAAUCUUGAGAAGAAAACCGAUUUGUAAUUUAAAAAGUCUUUGCAACUCAAAGUCUGAUUUCAAACAGAAGCAUUCCAAGGCCUAGUUAGGCUUGCUGAAUCAGCACACUGGACACCUGCAAGCCUCAAGGGAUCUAUGAUAAUGCUUGUGUUAAUUCCUGCUGGUCUGAAUGGAAGGUGAGAAACCAGCACAAUUAGGUUAAUGACACAACAACAACAACAACAACAACAACAACAACCUGUUACAUCGAACCUCCAAUGCUAUUUGGUACCUUUCUUUUUUUUAGUCCCCCCCCACACACACACUUCUGGGCUAGUACGCAGCUACCUACACAGUAAAGGCAACCCCCAUUUUAGGCAUGACCAAUAUGUGCGCAAUCACACACAUGUUCCAAACCCAGAAGUGAUCCAGAAACAUCAUGAAUGACAUCACUAAAAGGGUGGGGUGAGGGUGGAAUGACACAGAG